GUUCGGCCCAAGGCGUGCCGCUGGUCGCCCUUCAGAAGCCGGCGAGGCCGCCGAUGAAGAUGGGGACGAGGGCAGCGACGGCGAGGAGCUCCUGGAGCCGUUGAUGGGCCGCCGAAUCGAACUCUACAAGGCGGGGCAUACUGGCCCCAAGCGUGACCAUGGUGAGGAUGUCAAUGACAGGCUGGAACUCCAGCUAAGGCGCGGACCACAGCUCGAAACGGGCGGUACCGCCAGAGUGAGUGGUGGAUCCGGGUGCAGGGGCGAGCCGAAGAGAGGUGUCAGCGCCUCCGAGGAUAACGAGGAGGGACCUCUCCUGCUAGGGGUGCGGCAGAACGGCGGUCCCCCGACUAGCAGACCUCCAUUGAGGGCCGUGCCGGUGGCGGCUGCAGAUAGACAGGAACCAAGCAACCGCGAUUCGGACUCCGAUGUUCCGCUAACUAUGGGGUUCAUCUACGGUAGCGCCCGGCAUGCAACAGGCGAUCCGACGUACACGAAGGCCCCUGAGAAGACUGAAUCCGCCCAUGCGGCUUCAGAAGACUACAGCUCCGAUGGCUCACCGUUGGAAGUGCGCUUGGUGCGUUACGCUCCUCGACGUAAAACGGCGCACCGCCCCCCAGCGGCACCGUCCGCUCAAGAGGAAGUCCCUGGCAGGGCAGACACCGACACCGAUGCCCUCAGUGAGGAAGAGCCUCUCGCGGCGCUUGUGCUGCAGAAGAGCCGCGUCGAGCGAAGGGCGCAUCCUCGAGCAGCUUCAUCGCAAGAGGCUCGUGAGCAGCACUCGGCUGUCUCAACGGACGAGGAAGAGGAGGAAGAAGAUACACCGCUUAGUCAGGGUCGUCCAUUGCUGCGCUCUGCCGGUCCUCUUCCCAAAACGUAUCAUCCUUCCGCCGAGGAGCAUGGCAACGCGACCUUUUCCGAUGAUGAGGAGGAUAAUGAGCACAUGAUACCAACCUGCAGCAACCAUCGUCCUGCGCGUGUGUGCGGUCAUACCCACGAACUCCUCCUCCAGAAGGACGAGGCGGAACGAUCACACUCUAGCGAGGUCGAUGAUGAGGACACGAAUCCGUUGCGCGCGGAGAUUCAGGCGCCUCGUAAGCGUCAACACGGCCCGACCAAACAGGAAGAGAGCCUUGAAGCCGACGAGGCGCGGUCCUCCGCCCCCUCCACGCGGUCGUCGACCUCUUCACCCCUCACGACCACAUACCAUCGCACCCGGCACAACCGAGCACACCGAACUCCGCCCAGCCCCUGCAUCUCUGUCAAAUACGAAGGACCAGCAUCAAGCACGCCGAAACAGCAGCCCAUCGGCCAUCACCCCAUCCGACAGUUGACACGCCGCGUCGGCCCAGCGCCUGUCGCCACCGCUGCCGAGUCCACUGCAACAGUGACCCGAAUCCGACCAAGCGAGCAAUCCUUGGGACACCGAGAGCUCAAUUCCGCACACACACUAGCCGACACCGUCGACGACAGCCUUUCAGCGGCCACAACCGCUGCCGAGCACACACACACCACCAUCCUCCGACAGCACCUGCGCCGUGAACGAAACUAUCACCACAAACUACACGCGGAAUCUCACCAUCUCAAUCAUGUUCCUAUGCGCUUCAUGGGCACGCCCGUCGACGAGGCGGAGCGGGCGCUGGAGAGCGCUCUGCAGCAAGCCGGCGAUGCGAAGGAGCCCGCCGACCGCGACACCGUGCUGGAGCGGUCGAUGGGCACGCCCGUGGACGAGGCGGAGCGGGCGCUGGAGAGCGCUCUGCAGCAAGCCGGCGAUGCGAAGGAGCCCGCCGACCGCGACGCCGUGCUGGAGCGGUCGAUGGGCACGCCCGUCGACGAGGCGGAGCGGGUGCUGGAGAGCGCUCUGCAGCAAGCCGGCGAUGCGAAGGAGCCCGCCGACCGCGACACCGUGCUGGAGCGGUCGAUGGGCACGCCCGUGGACGAGGCGGAGCGGGCGCUGGAGAGCGCUCUGCAGCAAGCCGGCGAUGCGAAGGAGCCCGC
rnacentral:misc_RNA from 1 species